GAUAAACGCUGGCGGCGUGCUUAACACAUGCAAGUCGAACGAAGUUUUUCCUUCGGGAGAAACUUAGUGGCGGACGGGUGAGUAACGCGUGGGUAACCUGCCCUGUACAGGGGGACAACAGCUGGAAACGGCUGCUAAUACCGCAUAAGCACUUAGCACUGCAUGGUGCAUAGGGAAAAGGAGCAAUCCGGUACAGGAUGGACCCGCGUCUGAUUAGCCAGUUGGCAGGGUAACGGCCUACCAAAGCGACGAUCAGUAGCCGAUCUGAGAGGAUGUACGGCCACAUUGGGACUGAGACACGGCCCAGACUCCUACGGGAGGCAGCAGUGGGGAAUAUUGCACAAUGGAGGAAACUCUGAUGCAGCGACGCCGCGUGAGUGAAGAAGUAUUUCGGUAUGUAAAGCUCUAUCAGCAGGGAAGAAAAUGACGGUACCUGACGAAGAAGCACCGGCUAAAUACGUG
rnacentral:rRNA from 1 species